rnacentral:lncRNA from 1 species
UGGACAUUACCAACAAUAAUAUUUAGGACUUCCUAUCAAGAAGGUAUUUGACUGAAAGUAAAUAGUCCAUUCUUAUUGGAUAUUAAGUACGUUUACUUAUUAAAACCGUUAGAUGCUAUAGGAUAGUUUUAAAUUUUAGAGUUGUUUUCAUAUUCUUUUGAAAGUUCUUCUGUAUCAUGACAUUGGCAUUGGAGGUUGGGGAAUACCUCCUAAUUAAAGAAAGAGUCAAAUUGACACUGAAGGAUAGGAUCUUAGGUUCAUCGAACUUCACUAAUUUUGUGAUAUGUGUUGACUGCAUAAAGGUAAAACUGUCAUAUAUAUUUAAGAAAGAGUCCCA